GGAUGUGAGUGAUCUGGCUGUUACAUCUGUCACUCCUCGAUCACCAGGGUUGAUUCAGCUGAUCUGGCUGCCUGGGUGGGCAUUCCCUUCCUCCCUCACUCUCCAUGUGUGUCCCCACAAAACUGUGUGAUGUUGAACAGGACAAACUUCCCUGAUCAGAGGAGGACUGCUCCCCUGCUAGAACCUCCAAACAAGCUCUCAAGAAGCACUAGACUUAAAAGACCAUCACCCGGAAAACUCAAAGGUUGUUAAAACAUCAGUGU
rnacentral:snRNA from 1 species